rnacentral:lncRNA from 1 species
UAGAUGCACCACUCGUUUUAGGCUUAGCCUUGUGAGCAUUUUUCUUCUUCUUACCCUUGUUCUGGGCAGAAGAAGAACCUCGCUCAACAUUAAGCACAACAGGUGUAGCUCCUUGCUUAAUGAUAGUCUCAGCAGCCACCAGCUCAUUCAGCAACUUAGACAGAGUGAAAUCCAUCUUAUUCAUGUUAUAGUUCAAACGAAACUGCUGAAAACUGGCUGGCAAAGUG